AUUGAACGCUAGCGGGAUGCCUUACACAUGCAAGUCGAACGGAGUGGCGAACGGGGGCGGAAUGUAACGGAACGUGCACAGUAGUGGGGGAGAAGGACGCGAAAGCGGAGCGAAUACUGCAGACUAUUGGAGCAGCCGAUAUCGGAUUAGCUAGUUGGUGGGGUAACGGCUCACCUAGGCGACGAUCCGUAGCUGGUGUGAGAGGACGACCAGCCCCACUGGAACGGAGACACGGCCCAUACUCCUACGGGAGGCAGCAGUGGGGAAUUUUGGACAAUGGGGGCAACCCUGAUCCAGCCAUCCCGCGUGUGCGAUGAAGGCCUUCGGGUUGUAAAGCACUUUUGGCAGGAAAGCGGUACCUGCAGAAUAAGCACCGGCUAACUACGUGCCAGCAGCCGCGGUAAUAC
rnacentral:rRNA from 1 species